CUACACGUCUCCCCGCGGGCGUGUGGCCUUCUUCUCCCUUUGACCCAAGCAGAAGCGUCUCUUCUCCCUCUUCUCCGGUAUCCUUCGCUCCAUCCACUCCUCCGUGCUCUGCGUCGCCAUGGCCGCGCGCCCCGUUAGUAGCACCACCUCCACCUGCCGCCCCUGCCGCCCGGCGCAGGCCGCUGCUUCCAAGCCCUCCACCUCCUCGUCCCCUGGUACGGGUGUGCUCGUGGGUGUGCCCCGCGAGCGCGGGAGCUCGGUUUCCAAGGCAGCGAUUCGUGGAGCGAGAUUGGAGGCCGCGGCGAGGUGCUCUCUCGUCCGCCAGCGCCCCAUGCUGCUGGCGACCGUGGCGGUGGGGAGUCUGGUUGCUGCUGGCGCUGCAAAUGCUACAGAAAUUGGUGAUUCUCUGUUAGGGUCAUCUGGACUUGCUUUGGCUGACCUUAGCAUUGGAGAUUGGUUUGGAAAUUUGCUUUAUUCAGCGGGUCAGCAAGCCAACGAGGCUGUUCAGGAUCAGCUCUCUGCUCUUAGUUUCACUAGCUUGGCUGUAAUUUUCGGUGCUGGACUUGUAACUAGUUUGUCUCCUUGUACACUCAGUGUUCUACCAUUGACUCUAGGAUAUAUAGGUGCUUUUGGCUCGGGCAAAGAUCGAUCUGAGGUUGUUGGAAAUUCAGUUGCUUUUUCAUUAGGACUGGCAACAACCUUAGCCAUCCUUGGUGUUGCUGCUUCUUUUGCUGGAAAGGCCUAUGGACAGGUAGGACAAGGACUUCCAGUGGCUGCUUCAGGGUUAGCAGUUAUCAUGGGAUUGAACCUUCUUGAGGUAAUUGAGCUACAACUUCCCUCAUUUUUCAGCGAUUAUGACCCUCGAGCUGCUGCAGCUAACCUCCCUUCCAGUGUACAAGCAUACCUUGCCGGACUUACGUUUGCAUUAGCAGCAUCACCUUGCAGUACACCUGUUCUUGCUACCCUUCUGGGAUAUGUUGCCACUUCAAGAGAUCCGAUUGUUGGGGGAAGUUUGUUAUUGACUUAUACAACUGGCUAUGUUGCACCUCUUCUCAUUGCAGCUUCUUUUGCUGGAGCACUGCAGAGUUUGCUUUCCUUCAGGAGGUAUUCUGCAUGGAUAAACCCAAUCAGUGGUGCAUUUCUACUGGGUGGAGGGGUUUAUACCCUACUGGACAGGCUGUUUCCUGCAACAUCAAUGGUGAUGUAGAAUGCAUAUCAUAGUCGAACAAGAGCUGCAGUACGAGGAUCGCCAUUGUUGAACAUGCGAAUUAUGUCAGAGUUGAAAUGUAAAGUAGGUUCACCAGCAUUUUCACUUCUAGCAGCAUGAACAAGCUCAGCAGCCAUCACUGUUCCAAAAGAAGAAAACAGUGUAUUUCUAAGCACUCAAAAAAUUAAGAUAUGAAGCUUACCUAGCUAGAUCAAAACAUUGUCUUCAUAGUUUACUGCUAGAUCAUGUCUCUAACUCUCUAUUAUGUACUAAUACAUGGCAUUAAUCAAGUUGGUGAUUUUACACAUAUGUAAACUGCCUCAAAGAGCAAUGGAUACUAUCCAUGAGUACUGA